AAUGGGUCAUGUUACACCCUCGCAAAAAAAUGUCAGCGCUACUGGUCGAUCCUUGGGUGGUGGCGGUGGUAAAUAAUCUCGGAGGUCGACGUCCAAGUAGCAACCAGCUGUACCGAACGAAAACGGAAGAUAUGACACUAUGGAGAGAGAGAGAGUUCUGUGUGCCGUGUUCACCCUGUGUCCGCAUUGAAGGCCAGAUGGGAGAAGAAGCUUUUGGUCUUGGACACGAGGCUCUCCGACUUGAUGCUGCUGAACUGACAACCGAUAAAAAACACAGAAGAAGAAAGGACAAGUGAAACAUGACAACGAUGCAAAUGUGUCGUCGUGCGUGAGACGAGUCAUCUUACAAUAAGCGAGGCGGCGUAGUAGUGAGCAACAAAACGCAACGUCUUGCAAACCA